AUUACAAGGGAGAACAGAAGAAAAACAGGAAGAGAACAGAAGGAGAAACAGAAUUAUAGAAGAGCAAUGUGUAAAUCCGCUAUUUUGUUAAAGUCAAUUACAAGUGGAAAUCUGGAAAUCUUGCCAUGAAGAAGAGCUGAAAAUAAGCACCUAUAUUUUCAAUUUCAAAAAAAAGCUGUUGCAUGUGGUUAGAACAUUCCCUGAAAACUGGAGAUUACUCAGCUGGCUUGCUGGAAAACUAUCGCAUUACUUCUAGAUAAACAUCAUUAAACAGAGUGCAGUGCUUAGCUUCACUCAGCUGGAAAGCUGCAAGUAACUUGCCAUUGACAUGAAAAUGAUUGAGUAGGCAAUAAUGUUCAUUUUUGUAGGGUGACUGAGGUUGCACAGGAAAAAGGUGAUGCAGUGAAAUUAAAUGUAAGGUUACAUGUGCAGAAACAAAUACUGCAGGGCUGCACUUAGUGAGUGGCUUACUGCAUUUUGGAAAACUAACCCUUUGAAAGCUAAUGAUAGCUUCCAGCACACAGUGAUAGCUUAAAAAUAAAAAAAAAAAAAGGGCUUAGCAGAAAGAAAUGCUAGAUAUCAGUAAUGCAGUUGUGUUACUACUUUGUAUGGUAUUUAUGGUAUAACCAUGUCAUUAUGUUUGCUUCUGGCAUCCAAGCAUCCUGUAUUUGAUGU